AGUGAACGCUGGCGGUAGGCCUAACACAUGCAAGUCGAACGGCAGCACAGUAAGAGCUUGCUCUUACGGGUGGCGAGUGGCGGACGGGUGAGGAAUACAUCGGAAUCUACUUUUUCGUGGGGGAUAACGUAGGGAAACUUACGCUAAUACCGCAUACGACCUACGGCUGAAAGCAGGGGAUCUUCGGACCUUGCGCGAUUGAAUGAGCCGAUGUCGGAUUAGCUAGUUGGCGGGGUAAAGGCCCACCAAGGCGACGAUCCGUAGCUGGUCUGAGAGGAUGAUCAGCCACACUGGAACUGAGACACGGUCCAGACUCCUACGGGAGGCAGCAGUGGGGAAUAUUGGACAAUGGGCGCAAGCCUGAUCCAGCCAUACCGCGUGGGUGAAGAAGGCCUUCGGGUUGUAAAGCCCUUUUAUUGGGGAAGAAAAGCAGCAGGUUAAUACCCCGCUGUUCUGACGGUACCCAAAGAAUAAGCACCGGCUAACUUCGUG
rnacentral:rRNA from 1 species